rnacentral:rRNA from 1 species
CCUACGGGAGGCAGCAGUGAGGAAUAUUGGGCAAUGGGCGCGAGCCUGAAGCAGCCACGCCGCGUGAAGGAUGACUGCCCUCCGGGUUGUAACCUUCUUUUAUAAAGGAGUAAAGUGAGGCACGUGUUCCUUUUUGUAUGUACUUUAUGAAUAAAGAUCGGCUAACUCCGUGCCAGCAGCCGCGGUAAUACGGAGGGUCCGAUCGUUAUCCGGAUUUAUUGGGGUUAACGGGAGUGUAGACGGGUUGUUAAGUCAGUUGUGAAAGUUUGCGGCUCAACCGUAAAACUGCAAUUGAUACUGGCAGACUUGAGUACAGGUGAGGUAGGCGGAAUUCGUGGUGUAGCGGUGAAAUGCUUAGAUAUCACGAAGAACUCCGAUGGCGAAGGCAGCUUACUAAACUGCCACUGACAUUGAUGCUCGAAAGUGUGGGUAGCAAACAGGAUUAGAUACCCGGGUAGUC